CUAAUACCGAAUAAAAUAUAAGAGCCAAUUUUAUAUUGAAAGGAGCCUUUAAAGCUUCGCGAUUAGAUGGGCCUGCGGCGUAUUAACUUGUUGGUGAGGUAACGGCUCACCAAGGUAACGAUGCGUAGCCGAACUGAGAGGUUGAUCGGCCACACUGGGACUGAGACACGGCCCAGACUCCUACGGGAGACAGCAGUUAGGAAUAUUCGUCAAUGGGGGAAACCCUGAACGAGCAAUGCCGCGUGAGUGAUGACGGUCCUUUGGAUUGUAAAACUCUGUUGUAUGGAAAAAAUGACUAGGUUAGGAAAUGAACCUAGUGUGAUGGUACCAUACCAGAAAGCCCCGGCUAACUACGUGCCAGCAGCCGCGGUAAUACGUAGGGGGCAAGCGUUAUCCGGAUUUAUUGGGCGUAAAGCGUGUGUAGGCGGUUUGUUAAGUUUAAGAUUAAAGCCUGGGGCUCAACUCCAGUUCGUCUUAAAAACUGGCAGACUAGAGUACGGUAGAGGCAAACGGAAUUUCUAGUGUAGCGGUGAAAUGCGUAGAUAUUAGAAGGAACACCAGUGGCGAAAGCGGUUUGCUGGGCCGUUACUGACGCUGAGGCACGAAAGCGUGGGGAGCAAAUAGGAUUAGAUACCCUAGUAGUCCACGCCGUAAAC
rnacentral:rRNA from 1 species